CCAUGGCGCGGUGAAUACGUUCCCGGGCCUUGUACACACCGCCCGUCAAGCCAUGGGAGCCGGGGGUACCUGAAGUGCGUAACCGCGAGGAUCGCCCUAGGGUAAAACUGGUGACUGGGGCUAAGUCGUAACAAGGUAGCCGUACCGGAAGGUGCGGCUGGAACACCUCCUUUCUGGAG
rnacentral:rRNA from 1 species